GGACUACCGGGGUAUCUAAUCCUGUUCGAUCCCCACGCUUUCGCGCCUCAGCGUCAGUAUUAAGCCAGGUGGCUGCCUUCGCCAUUGACGUUCCUUCCGAUCUCUACGCAUUUCACCGCUACACCGGAAAUUCCGCCACCCUCUCUUAUACUCCAGUUAUGUCGUUUGCGAUGCACUUCCUAGGUUAAGCCCAGGGCUUUCACACCACACUCACAUAACCGCCUACGCGCCCUUUACGCCCAGUAACUCCGAUUAACGCUCGCACCCUCUGUAUUACCGCGGCUGCUGGCAC
rnacentral:rRNA from 1 species